GAUGAAGAACGCAGCGAAAUGCGAUACGUAAUGUGAAUUGCAGAAUUCAGUGAAUCAUCGAAUCUUUGAACGCACAUUGCGCCCGCUAGUAUUCUGGCGGGCAUGCCUGUCCGAGCGUCAUUUCAACCCAUCAAGCUUAGCGCUUGUGUUGGAGCCCUGCGGCCGCCGCAGCCUCCUAAAAUCAGUGGCGGGCUCGCUAUCACGCUGAGUGCAGUAGUAUUCUUCUCACUCCUGUGGUGUAGCGGGUAACCAGCCGUAAACCCCCCCAUCUAUACAGGUUGACCUCGGAUCAGGUAGGAAUACCCGCUGAACUUAAGCAUAUCAAUAAGCGGAGGA
rnacentral:misc_RNA from 1 species